AACGCGAAGAACCUUACCCAGGUUUGACAUGCAGUGGACAGGUACAGAGAUGUACCCUCCCUUCGGGGCCGCUGCACAGGUGCUGCAUGGCUGUCGUCAGCUCGUGCCGUGAGGUGUUGGGUUAAGUCCCGCAACGAGCGCAACCCUUAUCAUUAGUUGCCAACACGUAAAGGUGGGAACUCUAGUGAGACUGCCCGGGUUAACCGGGAGGAAGGUGAGGAUGACGUCAAGUCCGCAUGGCCCUUAUAUCUGGGGCUACACACGUGCUACAAUGGUCGGUACAGAAGGCUGCGAAACCGCGAGGUGAAGCAAAUCCCUAAAGCCGAUCCCAGUUCAGAUUGUAGUCUGCAACUCGACUACAUGAAGUUGGAAUUGCUAGUAAUGGCGAGUCAGCUACAUCGCCGUGAAUACGUUCCCGGGCCUUGUACACACCGGAGUGC
rnacentral:rRNA from 1 species